rnacentral:rRNA from 1 species
CCUACGGGUGGCAGCAGUGAGGAAUAUUGGUCAAUGGACGAGAGUCUGAACCAGCCAAGUAGCGUGAAGGAUGACUGCCCUAUGGGUUGUAAACUUCUUUUAUAUGGGAAUAAAAUGUUCCACGUGUGGGAUUUUGUAUGUACCAUAUGAAUAAGGAUCGGCUAACUCCGUGCCAGCAGCCGCGGUAAUACGGAGGAUCCGAGCGUUAUCCGGAUUUAUUGGGUUUAAAGGGAGCGUAGGUGGAGUGUUAAGUCAGUUGUGAAAGUUUGCGGCUCAACCGUAAAAUUGCAGUUGAAACUGGCAGUCUUGAGUACAGGAGAGGUGAGCGGAAUUCGUGGUGUAGCGGUGAAAUGCUUAGAUAUCACGAAGAACUCCGAUUGCGAAGGCAGUUCACUGGACUGCAACUGACACUGAGGCUCGAAAGUGUGGAUAUCAAACAGGAUUAGAUACCCUUGUAGUC